GUGACGUUAGCUCAGUGGCAGAGCACCGCGCUGUGAACGCGGAUGCAUCGGUUCGAUUCCGUUACGUCACACCA
rnacentral:tRNA from 1 species